rnacentral:rRNA from 1 species
GAGUGGCGAACUGGUGAGUAACACGUGGGAAACCUGCCCAGAAGCGGGGGAUAACACCUGGAAACAGAUGCUAAUACCGCAUAACAACUUGGACCGCAUGGUCCGAGCUUGAAAGAUGGCUUCGGCUAUCACUUUUGGAUGGUCCCGCGGCGUAUUAGCUAGAUGGUGGGGUAACGGCUCACCAUGGCAAUGAUACGUAGCCGACCUGAGAGGGUAAUCGGCCACAUUGGGACUGAGACACGGCCCAAACUCCUACGGGAGGCAGCAGUAGGGAAUCUUCCACAAUGGACGAAAGUCUGAUGGAGCAACGCCGCGUGAGUGAAGAAGGGUUUCGGCUCGUAAAACUCUGUUGUUAAAGAAGAACAUAUCUGAGAGUAACUGUUCAGGUAUUGACGGUAUUUAACCAGAAAGUCACGGCUAACUACGUGCCAGCAGCCGCGGUAAUACGUAGGUGGCAAGCGUUGUCCGGAUUUAUUGGGCGUAAAGCGAGCGCAGGCGGUUUUUUAAGUCUGAUGUGAAAGCCUUCGGCUCAACCGAAGAAGUGCAUCGGAAACUGGGAAACUUGAGUGCAGAAGAGGACAGUGGAACUCCAUGUGUAGCGGUGAAAUGCGUAGAUAUAUGGAAGAACACCAGUGGCGAAGGCGGCUGUCUGGUCUGUAACUGACGCUGAGGCUCGAAAGUAUGGGUAGCAAACAGGAUUAGAUACCCUGGUAGUCCAUACCGUAAACGAUGAAUGCUAAGUGUUGGAGGGUUUCCGCCCUUCAGUGCUGCAGCUAACGCAUUAAGCAUUCCGCCUGGGGAGUACGGCCGCAAGGCUGAAACUCAAAGGAAUUGACGGGGGCCCGCACAAGCGGUGGAGCAUGUGGUUUAAUUCGAAGCUACGCGAAGAACCUUACCAGGUCUUGACAUACUAUGCAAAUCUAAGAGAUUAGACGUUCCCUUCGGGGACAUGGAUACAGGUGGUGCAUGGUUGUCGUCAGCUCGUGUCGUGAGAUGUUGGGUUAAGUCCCGCAACGAGCGCAACCCUUAUUAUCAGUUGCCAGCAUUAAGUUGGGCACUCUGGUGAGACUGCCGGUGACAAACCGGAGGAAGGUGGGGAUGACGUCAAAUCAUCAUGCCCCUUAUGACCUGGGCUACACACGUGCUACAAUGGAUGGUACAACGAGUUGCGAACUCGCGAGAGUAAGCUAAUCUCUUAAAGCCAUUCUCAGUUCGGAUUGUAGGCUGCAACUCGCCUACAUGAAGUCGGAAUCGCUAGUAAUCGCGGAUCAGCAUGCCGCGGUGAAUACGUUCCCGGGCCUUGUACACACCGCCCGUCACACCAUGAGAGUUUGUAACACCCAAAGUCGGUGGGGUAACCUUUUAGGAACCAGCCGCCUAA